AGAGUUUGAUCAUGGCUCAGAUUGAACGCUGGCGGCAGGCCUAACACAUGCAAGUCGAACGGUAACAUGACUAGCUUGCUAAACGAUGACGAGUGGCGGACGGGUGAGUAAUGCUUGGGAACUUGCCUUUGCGAGGGGGAUAACAGUUGGAAACGACUGCUAAUACCGCAUAAUGUCUUCGGACCAAACGGGGCUUCGGCUCCGGCGCAAAGAGAGGCCCAAGUGAGUUUAGCUAGUUGGUAAGGUAAAGGCUUACCAAGGCAACGAUCUCUAGCUGUUCUGAGAGGAAGAUCAGCCACACUGGAACUGAGACACGGUCCAGACUCCUACGGGAGGCAGCAGUGGGGAAUAUUGCACAAUGGGGG
rnacentral:rRNA from 1 species